rnacentral:rRNA from 1 species
UACGUAGUUAGCCGGUGCUUCUUUACCCAUUACCGUCACUCACGCUUCGUCACAGGCGAAAGCGGUUUACAACCCGAAGGCCGUCAUCCCGCACGCGGCGUUGCUGCAUCAGGCUUCCGCCCAUUGUGCAAUAUUCCCCACUGCUGCC